GGCACAGCUGGCCCUCAGCAACACUCUCCUGACGCACAACUGGAGUGCUCUCUGCUUUGGCCAGAUGAUGGAAGAUCAGCUCUGUUCACCUUUGCUGAUACCACCUAAUGGAGAGUUGGAGCAUCACUGUUUGCAGAUACCGUGUUUGACGAGCGGAAGGUCUGGGCUGUCCUGCGUCCUCGCGCCUGCUCUCCCCCAGCGCGUGCUGGCUUCCCAUUCCUGCCACAUUCACUUAAGGAAUGCCACCUGACCUCCAGCCCACUGAACUUGGAGAUCUGCCCUCCUCUGCAUCGCUUGCACUCAGAAGCAAAGAAGUUAGGAAUUUGAGUAACUUACAUGCACUUUUAGACUUUUGUUCUCUUUUUCAUUGUCAACACCCCAUGCCCAUGGCUGUCCUGGGCUCAGCACCUCCUCCAGGCAUCUUCCUCGGGGACCCCACAUGCUUCGCCUUGUUUUCUCAUGUUGUGCCCUGCUCCUUCCCUCUUACCCUCACAUACUGGUUUCUUUCACCUCGGUGCCCAAGUGCCUCAACCUCCUGCUCCACCCUGUCUGUCAGGGAGCCCUGUAUCUGCACUUGCUCUCUCUCUGCCCAACCCCAUCGUCCCUAGUCAGCCACUGUCAUUGUGAAAUAUUCGGACACUUCUUCUCCCUGUGUGUCACUCUGUGACUGGUGGGUACCUUCAGCAUCUCCUCCAACUGAUGUGACACGUCCUUGGACAGCCUCUUCCUAGUGGUGUGGGCAGCUCUUUCAAGACCAGACAUUUGCAGUUGUUGACUUAACAUUCUACGGGUAUUUUAUGCAAUUACGAGGAACGUUUGUGCUCAUAGCAGAAGCUAUGUGACACAAGCGUCUGUUCCUUCCAUUUACAUACUUUAUAUUGAUUUUAGUUGCAAAUAUAUAUACUUUAUAUUUGUGUGUAUCUAUGCAUAUCACUUAUGUAUAUAUCUACAUGUUACACAA